UACUAUGCUAUGCCUAGGUAAUGGCCCCC
rnacentral:piRNA from 1 species